rnacentral:rRNA from 1 species
AGAGUUUGAUCCUGGCUCAGGACGAACGCUGGCGGCGUGCCUAAUACAUGCAAGUCGAACGAGAAUUUUUUACACCGAGUGCUUGCACUCACCGUAAGAAAUUCGAGUGGCGGACGGGUGAGUAACACGUGGGUAACCUGCCCAAAAGAAGGGGAUAACAUUUGGAAACAAAUGCUAAUACCGUAUAACCAUGAUGACCGCAUGGUCAUUAUGUAAAAGGUGGUUUUGCUAUCGCUUUUGGAUGGACCCGCGGCGUAUUAACUAGUUGGUAGGGUAACGGCCUACCAAGGUGAUGAUACGUAGCCGAGUUGAGAGACUGAUCGGCCACAAUGGGACUGAGACACGGCCCAUACUCCUACGGGAGGCAGCAGUAGGGAAUCUUCCACAAUGGGCGCAAGCCUGAUGGAGCAACGCCGCGUGAAUGAAGAAGGUCUUCGGAUCGUAAAAUUCUGUUGUUAGAGAAGAAUAUGAGUAAUAGUAACUGAUUAUUCACUGACGGUAUCUAACCAGCAAGUCACGGCUAACUACGUGCCAGCAGCCGCGGUAAUACGUAGGUGGCAAGCGUUGUCCGGAUUUAUUGGGCGUAAAGGGAACGCAGGCGGUUUUUUAAGUCUGAUGUGAAAGCCUUCGGCUUAACCGGAGAUGUGCAUUGGAAACUGGAAGACUUGAGUGCAGAAAAGAAAGUGGAACUCCAUGUGUAGCGGUGAAAUGCGUAAUAUUUGGAA